GCCAACAGUCCUGACUCUUCUCAGAGACAGGAGCGAACGUGCCCCCAUGAUCUCGAGGCACGAACGCACGAACAGAGGCCAUUAGAUGGCUUUAUAAAAGCCAGAGAAGGCCACGAACCAGUGGGGAGAGAACCAGAGAAACACUAAGAGGGAAAGAAUAGACAGAGACUACCAGAGAAAGACGAACAAAAAAAGCAGAGAACAACACAAAGAAAAACAGAGAGCACGAACGGAAAUAAAGAAAGAAAGGACUGACUAAAAAAAGAGAAAGGAGGAGAGAGCAAAAAGCCAGCGCUCCCAGCUUUGCCUUCGUCCCCAGAACGCAAGCAAAGUGAAUAAGGGAAAACAGAGAAACUGCAAGUAUUGAUCAGCCUGGGCAUUCGUCUCCAGCUUCACCACUCCGAACCAUCAGAAACAGAAAGAAUAAAGCUAGAGGAACAAAGGGAAGGUUGAAACGGGUGCCCGGCUAGUGUCACCCGAUCACACAGAAAGAGCUUCACUAUCGUCUUCAUCGCCUCCAGUAGACCAGUAUGAAAGCUGCAAUUGUUAAUGGUCGACACAGACGCAGAUGGUAGUUGUCAGUUAUGAGGAUGGUGAUGGUUGGGCUUGUGUGGCUACUGUGGAAGAAGGAGAAGCAUAGACCUGGUGGUGAGCUGGAGGAGUUCACGGUGCUGUGUUGCCAAGAAGAACAGCUGCAAUGAAGAUAGUGUGGUUCGGUCUGGUACACUAUGAAAGAGGGGCUGUUGAAUUCACCGUGAGGAGGAAAAUGGAGGAAGAGCUGAGUAAUGGUCCUUUUUUUUUUGGAUGGAGGCUGUAUGAUGGCGAACUGUCAAACUUUAGGGAGGGUCAUGUUUUUUUUGCUUUUUUCCGAGAGAGAAUGUUUGUUUCGGUGAUUUUUUUUUUUGGUUUUUUAACUAAUUCCUCUACUUUUAUGUAUCACAUAAAUAAUUUUUUUAACUUAGAGGUAAAAAAAAACUAAAAUAUCAGUAA